rnacentral:rRNA from 1 species
UACGUAGGGGGCAAGCGUUGUCCGGAUUUAUUGGGCGUAAAGAGCGUGUAGGCGGCCAGACAGGUCAGCUGUGAAACUCGAGGCUCAACCUCGAGACGUCGGUUGAAACCGUCUGGCUAGAGUCCGGAAGAGGAGAGUGGAAUUCCCGGUGUGAGCGGUGAAAUGCGCAGAGUAUCGGGAAGAACACCCGUGGCGAAGGCGGCUCUCUGGGACGGUACUGACGGCUGGGACGCGAAAGCGUGGGGAGCGAACGAGG